rnacentral:rRNA from 1 species
GUGUCAGCCGCCGCGGUAAUACGAAGGGGGCUAGCGUUACUCGGAAUUACUGGGCGUAAAGCGUGCGUAGGCGGCUUAGUAAGUUGGAAGUGAAAUCCUGGAGCUCAACUCCAGAACUGCUUUCAAAACUACUUGGCUAGAGUACCAGAGAGGAUAGCGGAAUUCCUAGUGUAGAGGUGAAAUUCGUAGAUAUUAGGAGGAACACCGGAAGCGAAAGCGGCUAUCUGGCUGGUAACUGACGCUGUUGCACGAAAGCGUGGGGAGCAAACAGGAUUAGAUACCCUGGUAGUCC